CAGCCGCCACGGUAAUACGUAGGGUGCGAGCGUUGUCCGGAAUUACUGGGCGUAAAGAGUUCGUAGGCGGUUUGUCGCGUCGUUCGUGAAAACUUGGGGCUUAACUCCAAGCGUGCGGGCGAUACGGACAGACUUGAGUACUACAGGGGAGACUGGAAUUCCUGGUGUAGCGGUGAAAUGCGUAGAGAUCGGGAGGAACACCAGUGGCGAAGGCGGCCAUCUGGGACAACACUGACGCUGAGGCACGAAAGCGUGGGGAGCAAACAGGAUUAGAUACCCCUGUAGUCCCUGUCUCUUAUAC
rnacentral:rRNA from 1 species